UUUCCGUAGGUGAACCUGCGGAAGGAUCAUUACUGAGUGAGGGCCCUCUGGGUCCAACCUCCCACCCGUGUUUAUUAUACCUUGUUGCUUCGGUGAGCCCGCCUCACGGCCGCCGGGGGGCAUCUGCCCCCGGGCCCGCGCCCACCGAAGACACCUAGAACUCUGUAUGAAGAUUGCAGCCUGAGCAAAAACUAAAUAAGUUAAAACUUUCAACAACGGAUCUCUUGGUUCCG
rnacentral:misc_RNA from 1 species